rnacentral:misc_RNA from 1 species
GGCAGAAAGAGUGGAAGCUUACCGAGGACACGCGUGACCCAACCCUUCAGCACAUCAUGACGAGGAUCCGCGAGAUCGGUCUUCGCUCGAUGACACCGGCGCGCAUCUACGACCUUGCGAUGGACGUGAGCGAGCAGUCCUAUCGCGAAGUCGCAGCCGACACGGCACACGAGAUGCGGAACAUCAUCGCGCCGUUCGAAGGCUACCUGGUAGAUCUCCGGGAACAGCUAUCGGACGACGACGCUGACAGAGAAGAUGAGCGAACGCUGGUUGCGCUCGCUCUCUCGCGCUUGGA